rnacentral:tRNA from 1 species
GAAACAAAUCAAGUAAACUUCUAACUUACAAUAAAGCAUUAAAUUGUUUAUGUUUCU